AUUGAACGCUGGCGGCAGGCCUAACACAUGCAAGUCGAGCGGGGUUUUCGGACCUAGCGGCGGACGGGUGAGUAAUGCGUAGGAAGCUGCCCGAUAGAGGGGGAUACCAGUUGGAAACGACUGUUAAUACCGCAUAAUGUCUACGGACCAAAGUGUGGGACCUUCGGGCCACAUGCUAUCGGAUGCGCCUACGUGGGAUUAGCUAGUUGGUGAGGUAAUGGCUCACCACGGCGACGAUCUCUAGCUGGUUUGAGAGGAUGAUCAGCCACACUGGAACUGAGACACGGUCCAGAAUCCUACGGGAGGAAGCAGUGGGGAAUAUUGGACAAUGGGCGCAAGCAUGAGCCAGCCAUGCCGCGUGUGUGAAGAAGGCCUUCGGGUUGUAAAGCACUUUCAGCGAGGAGGAAGGGGUGUGUGUUAAUAGUACACACCUUUGACGUUACUCGCAGAAGAAGCACCGGCUAACUCUGUGCCAGCCGCCGCGGUAAUAC
rnacentral:rRNA from 1 species